rnacentral:ncRNA from 20 species
GCAAAGGACAGUGGUGAUUUGGCCGGCCGGCUUGCAGCCACGUUAAACAACUCGCUAAAGGGCCGAUCCGAUCGUGGA